rnacentral:lncRNA from 1 species
CCCAGAUGAAAUGUGUUGAUCCUGUGAUGAAGGAAGAAGAUUCUGAAGACUGAGUUUUGUUCUUGUAAGUUUUGACUUUCUCACCACAGGUGCUCUAGGGGUAAGAUUUUUUUUCACACCUAGGUGUAAACGUUAUGUAUCAGUUUGGGGACUUUCAGGUCUGUGCUUUUAGCACUUUUUUGUUUUGUUUUGUUUUGAGACGGAGUCUCUCUCUGUCGCCCAGGCUGGAGUGCAGUGGCGCGAUCUCGGCUCACUGCAAGCUCUGCCUCCUGGGUUCACGCCAUUCUCCUGCCUCAGCCUCCCGAGUAGCUGGGACUACAGGCGCCCACCACCACAUCCGGCUAAUUGCUUUUAGCACUUUUUUGGGAGAGGAACAGAUGACAAUGCAUUGCCAGGCCUUCAAUACAAAAGGUAUUAGACUCAAGAUUCUACAAGAUUCUGUUUGUGCCAGACACUGAUCAGCAGUGCAAAUAUAAAAUGAAUACAAACAGAUCACGCAUCAGAAUGCCAAUCACUUCCUAGUAACACUGAUCAAAAUUUGCAUUAAAUCAACAGAUCUUUCUUUUAAGAGGUGUGUGGCAACAGUAAAGCUUUCUACAUGUUAAACAGAAUGAACAAAACCAACGCAGAGCAGUGACUUCCUGUCAGAGCAGAAGGAGACCCUUAUAGAACAGCUGUGCCACUGCUCCAAAGGCCUCGUGUGGUUCUAUCCCUUGGACUGCCUUUCUUCAACAGCCCAGACACCUGCUCUGUCAGAUUUAUAAGCCACACCCCCUAGAGCCAUGCCAAUCAAAGCAUGGCCCGCAGACCUGUGCCAGUCUCCGAACCUCUUUGUUACCGAUUUGGAGCAAGAUGGGGACAGAAAUUGAGAGCCAGAGUU